AAUUAUUUAGUAUUAGAAUUAUUUAUUAUUAUCUGAAUGUAAACAAUUUUAUAUCGGACAGUCUAUUGGAUAUUUCAAAAAUUGCGAAAAGAAAUGAUGAGGUAGGAGGACAUUUUUUUAUUCAUAUUCCACUUACUUGGUGUUCAGCCUUUGGUGCCAUGGAGGAAGAUGCUGGAUAAACUGUAUUUAUAUGUGCGAGUCCACACAAGAUAUUUUUUAAUUCUUGAAAGACUGGAAACGCACUUGGGGGCACCAUGCCAUUGGGUUUUCUUAAAGUACCCCUUGGACGAGCGUCCAAUUAUCGGAAAGGGAUCCUUUCCACUAAGGGAAAACGAUCAGAAUACUCGUUACAAGAUACGUAAUUUUAUUAAUUUGUAUUACGGCGACCCUUCGUCGCUCUGACUCGCUCAGCAUUCACUCGCCAACUUACUUCGCAUCUGCACAUCGCACAGCACACACUCCACUCCAUACGUACCCUUCUUAAAUGUCGAAAAAGACAAUAUCACGCCAGAUCGGCAAUUCGCGGCAGUCUUUGCAAAUCGCAACUGCCCGAGAAACUUGAAACUUUGUAGAUAAAAGUUCGAAGCGGGACGAUUGACGAGUCUCCAAACCGCCGGUCUCGGCGGAUCCUCCACGCGCAAUUUGACGACACGUGUCUGCUCGCACCCCAUAUUUGGAUGCGCACAUGCAACUCUCAUAUCCACAAUAUAUUAACUUACAUAAUUACUUAAUUUUGCAAUCUUUGAUUGCGGUAAUUUAUUCGCACUAGUUCUUGAAGUUAACUGUCUACAUGUACCUGCGUUGCUUUUUCUGUAUCUGCUAAACAACUAUUUUGAAUUGUAUUUUCAGUAAAAAUGGAUGCAAUAGGCCUUAUUUGUUGCGUUGAUAUUCCAGGUUCCACGGAUCUAUCGAUGUCCACCGAUCCAGCUUCUUCGUGCACGUGUCGAUUGGCUUUCACUAUCGUAAAACGUUUGCGUUUCAAAUGUUCAUAUAAAUUCAGUGUUUCUUGAAUUUUCAAUUUUCUUUUACACAAGAGACACAUAGCACUUGUUGGCGUUUUUCGUUUAAAAUUUCAUUCACUGUUCUCUCUUUAUUCAACGAUGUUAGCACUUCGAAAUCUGCUCGUGGACUGACUAAGUCUUUGGUUCGUUCUGUGCAGGUCCGAGCUUGCGUCCAGGCAUUUAUUUAUAUUAACGUUCGGUGGAUCGCGCUAACGAGAUCCACCGAGGAGAUAAGUACCUCUUCGGUGUGAGAUCUUUUAAUUUUAAAUGAAUACUUUAGAUAUUUCUUUCAUGUAUUGUAGGAAAAAUCGCAAGGGAAAUACGUUCUACAAUUGCAUUUCCCACCAGUUAUAUAUGUUUCUCUUUCAUCUUUCAAUUUUGAUUACUAAAAAACUGAAUUUUCAAAUU